UCCAUUUUAUCAUUUAAAAAUAAAUUGGAUAGUUAUAUGGACGGGAAAGGAAUGGUGGGUUACGGUCUGAGUGCAGGUAGAUGGGACUAGGGGAGAAUACGUGUUCGGCACGGACUAGAAGGGCCGAGAUGGCCUGUUUCCGUGCUGUAAUUGUUAUAUGGUUAUAUGGUUAUAUGGAAUGGCCUAAUCCUACCUCUGAAACAUGACCUAAUGACCUGCUUUCCGUUAUUCUAGCUGAGAAGUUGCAGAAGAAAGAAGCUGGUAAGCUAGAAUUAGAUCGAAUCAAACCAUUCUUCAUCAUUAGACUUUGGUAAACUUUUCUGCACUUUCAAUAUUAAUUUUCCAACAAUAAUUAUAACUUGGUGAUCAAUAGAAUUGCUGAAGCACCUGGAAAACGAUGAAACACGUUUAAAAGAAUCGAAGUCUGACAUAUGUACGACUGAAACAAACAAACUCAAGGCAGAACUGGAGAAAACAG